rnacentral:rRNA from 1 species
CACGUAGGGCGCAAGCGUUGUCCGGAAUUAUUUGGGCGUAAAGAGCUCGUAGGCGGUCUGUUGCGUCCGCUGUGAAAACUCGGGGCUUAACCCCGAGCCUGCAGUGGAUACGGGCAGACUAGAGGUAGGUAGGGGAGAAUGGAAUUCCCGGUGUAGCGGUGAAAUGCGUAGAUAUCAAGAGGAACACCUGAGGUGAAGACGGGUUGCUGGGCCGACACUGACGCUGAAGCGCGAAAGCCAGGGGAGCAAACGGG